AUGGCUAGUGCGUGACCACAUCUGCAGCCAUUUGUGCCUGGUGACUUGAAGGACCAAAGAGAAAGAGUAACCAAGGGACACAAAAAUUAUGCUUUAUUAUUUUUGCCCUCAUUGUUUCUUAGGGGUGUUUUGAAUGGAUCCCUUCGUGCUCAUCGUUUUGCUCUACGUAAUGAUCGCACAUGAGCUGAUCUGUGGAUGGAUGCAGCACCGGAGACAGAGUGUCAAGGGGUGCAAUCGGACUGGACCUCUAAUGCAGUCGAGCACUCGAGGGUGUCAAGGAGCAUGGUGGAGAGGCAACCACUCAUCCACAAAUACCAGGAGAGACCAGGACCUGAGAAAGUCCAGACGCAUCAUGAGAAAAUCCUAGAGUAAAACACAAAUGGACGCACACAUUUUUAAGACGUACAUUAACUUAUCACCUUGUUUUGAGGCUUCUAUUCUUCUUUGACCAAGAUCCUGACGGUCACUAUCCCAGAGCUCCCCUGUUAAGAAGAACAUUAAGGAGAACCUUCUAGAAGGAAAACCCUCUCUGCAGCACUUCACCAAACAGGCUUGUAUGGUAGAGUGGCCAGAUGGAAGCCACUCUGAAGAAAUCAAGACAUGCCACCCUGGCUGGCUUUUCAGACAUGUUUGCUGCUCCUGUGGUUCUUGCAUGCAGCUGAGACCUGUGAAGUUACUGACAUCCAGUUUUUGCAUCAGUGGUUGACUUUCUAUUAUCAUAUUGGAUUUAAUCAAGGUCACUGAACUGCAAGCCUUGACUCAUCUUAAUGACUCAUAGUCAAUCACUAACAUCAGCAGGCACUACUGUAAUG